GACAGAGGGUGCAAACGUUGUUCGGAUUUACUGGGCGUAAAGCGCGUGUAGGCGGCUUUGCAAGUCGGAUGUGAAAGCCCACGGCUCAACCGUGGAAGUGCAUCCGAAACUGCAUGGCUUGAGUCUCGGAGAGGAAGGUGGAAUGCUUGGUGUAGAGGUGAAAUUCGUAGAUAUCAAGCAGAACACCGGUGGCGAAGGCGGCCUUCUGGACAGAUACUGACGCUGAGACGCGAAAGCGUGGGGAGCAAACAGG
rnacentral:rRNA from 1 species